rnacentral:rRNA from 1 species
GUUGAUGGCCAUGUCACCCUGAACAUGUCUGAUAGAUACUAUAUGAACUCAGAAGUUUGGGUUGGGUCUGGAUAGUACUUAGAUAUAAAAAAGAGUAAACAAAUGGUAAAUAAAGU